AAUUAACACAAUGGAAGGAAAUGCUACCUAGGAAAAGGACACAAUAUCAACUAAAUAAAGGUAAAUAAAAUUAAAAAUGAAUAAGGAUAAAUUCACAAAUUGCAAUUACUUAUAUAUAGGAGUGUCAAAAUGGGUCAAAAUUCAUGGGUCAACUCAACUCAACUCAACUCAUGAACCCUAAUGAGUUGAAAAUUUUGACUCAAAUGAGUUGAUGGGUCAAAUGAGUUGAUGAGUCAAUUGGUUUGGUGAGUCAAUUGAGUUGGGUUGUAAUGGUUAAUGGUUUCAAUGGUUUACCCAAUUAACCCAUCAAGGUUUGUUAAAUUGAAUUAAACCAACUAAAAUCUCUAAACCGAUGUCAAUUUAAGUUUAACCAACACAUCUAAACCAAUUUAAUAAAAUUA
rnacentral:sRNA from 1 species